CAGCAGUUCGUCGUUCGCUAUCGAUCCUUUUCAACUUUAUUUAUCAUCGAUAUUUAACUCAUCCAAUUUUUACACCUGAUAUGUCCAUUUCUCGACAGAUUUUUCCAGGAUUAUCGCGGAAUAGCAAUUUCUCGUUGGUUGUAAUGUUCGUUUGUUCGAUUGGUCUGAAUAUUUGCGUUAACAGGCGAAUGAGAAUCAACUAGGAGAGUUGUGUCAAGUGCGUGUGCGUACGUUUGUUCGUUACUCGGGGGAAGAACGAGGGAAAAAAGUGUCGCGGACAAGAGACAGAUGCCAAGUAGCCGCAAAAGCGGUAUUAUUUCAAAACAUGAUGUCAUUAGAUGCUGCGCGGAAUUUGUAAAUACAUUAUCAAUUAGGUGGUCGCGCGGAGGACAAGGCGUCAUGCACUUUUAAUAGAAACCUGCCCGCCAAACCGACCAACAUUACUCGUUUGUUGCAAAAUCCUCGAGCAAGAGAGAAGCACCGCGAAUUUGUUCCGGCGAUUCAAUGAGCAACGACCAGAACCGAAUCAACUUUGCUCCAACUUGAUCUUCGGCCGAUUAAAUCGCUGAUAAUUAAUCAACUACGUAGGAAGACACGUUUAUCAGAUAACGUUCGGUUAAGAUCGUCUGAUACGUCUUAUUAUUCAGAUCUAAUAUAUUCUUUCGUCUUUCGUCAUCAUCAUGAAGUGAUACGGAACGAUACAUCCUGAUGGUGGAAACUAGGUUGCUCAGUGAGUUGUCGUUCCAAAAAUAUCCAUAGCGAACCACCGACGGAAAGAAAAUGUCGCAGUACGUCCGACAAUCCUGCAGAACCCUGGUCGAAGUUUCUUCCACUGAUCCCUCGAACGUGGAAUCGUAGCCUGCGAAACGCUUUGCUCGUCAAGGCUGGUCGAUCAAAAAAUAAACACGGGUCUAUAAACCGCCGCGAUCUACAAUGACACAGGGAACUUCAUAAAUCACCGAUUCACCAAACUUGCGAAAAUAGGCCGAACGCAAACUUUCCUGUGGAGAUUUCCUCCGUGCUUCCCAACUUCGUCUAAUAUUCAUCCAGUAGAAGACGAAGAGGACGUGUUUUAAGAGAGAAGUAUGUAAAAUUAAUUCUUAAAGAUUGUCGUGGGUGAAAGUUCGUCGCAGUAUAUCUUCCUUGAAUGAAGAAAUUAAUAAAUAGAUGGAGUUCGAUAUCUUCAUUGUUAGUUACUAGACGAAGAGUAGAAAAAUCAUUGUUCGCGGUGAUUACAAAAAUAAUUCCAUUACGAUGGUACUUCUACGAGAUGCCAAAAAAUUUCCAUGUGGUAGAUUUUAAAAGUUACAUAUUUUCAUCCGAGAAUCACGUAUCGUCUGAGAAUCGAUGAACUGCUACUCGACGGCUAACAAGAAAUAUUUUAUUUAAGAAGAAUAGAUUCGAAAGUAAAUUGUAUGAUUGGAAGAAUCGCGCAUUUUUCCAGAAUCAACGAAUCGCGUAUAAUUAAAGAAAACGCUGUAUAAUUAAAAAUUAAAAAAAAUAAAACGCUGUAUAAUUAAAAAAAAGGAAGCUUAUGUAUUUUAACGUAGUCCAAGUUCGUUCAAAAAGGGAAGCGUAUCCGUAGAAAAUCCUGUAUGUGCAAUUGUCUUAGUUAUAAAGAAAACUCGAUGUUCCAUUCGUUUAGAUAGACGGCAUAGAGAAAAGUAAAAAAAUCAGACAACUAACGUUUAUUGCAACUUAUACAUUUUUUUACAGGCGCAACGUUGCUGCGACACCAUCUUUUAGCAUUGUCGGUAAAUUAUUUGAAAAGGGAAAUUACAUUUAAGAUAUAUUCGAAUAAAAAACAAAGUUUUUCAAUUUUAGCAUUUACAGUGUCUUCUCGAUCGUUUCUUGCAAUAUUAUUUAACACUGAACCGCGAAAGAAAGUCGCGUUUGAGGAGCAAAGAUUCGAGAAACGAAAGGAAGAUUCAAAGUCGAAUAUUUCCUUUAAAAGGAUUGCGCGUGGUUCGAGAGUCGCGCACGGUUUACGCAACGCUCUCGAGAAUCGCAUUGGAACCCGUACGAAUACGUAACACGGUUCGUUUCGUGCUAAAUUCGCAUCAAAGGAAAAUAGUGCGCGAUUCGACAGGUUUUCGCCAACUUUUCGUUUAUCGUGGCCGAAAGCUCAACGCGAGAACGCCAAUCAGCGUCACCCAGCGGCAGUGUUUCGCGACAUUGCAAGUGUUCCAAGAAGAAGAGCACGACGUUAUGAUUUAUUUCACGCCAGCGUCGUCUAGUAAAACUAUGAAAAAUUAUGCUCGCCACAAACAUAAAUCUCCAAUGGUCUACACGUGUUUCGUUAUCGCCAGUGAUUUCUCGCGAAACCAUUAUUUUCCUUGGAUUUGGUUCUUCCUUUGUAGGUUGAUAGCAGCAAAUGGAACAUGACGAUUUUCAUAGGUGCAAUAAAAUCUAUUUAUAAGACGAAGCUCCAGGAAUGUUCGAAAAGAUAUCCGCUAUAUUCACGGCAAUUUCGAGCAAGCCUCUAGCGGGGUUUCUGAGUACUGAAUAUCCUUGUUUAGUAGUGAAAAAAUUGUUUCUUCGAUCGAAUGGUAAAACACGCUAGGUGAAACAGAAACCGUGUGACGUAUCUAUCUAUGCACAGCCGUUAUGCCUCGGUCUUUUCUCAUGUGCUUGCAUACGACGGGAAAGAAGAAGACCAGUGAUUGUACAAUGACACCGACGAUCGAUAAAAUAUACGAAGGCUCAGCGAAAAAGUGUAUGGAGAAUGUUGCCCUGAAUGUCUAAAGUUUUAUGAAUACGUGUAGUAAUUUGUUUUAAUGUUUGAAGAGAACUAUGAAGUUGAAUUUCUUUCUUUUUUUCUUUAAAUUCAACUUUUAUCUGAAAAAAUUAUGGAUAAAGUUGAUAAAGCUAAUAUAAAAAUCUUAUAGUUAAGUAAAUUUUACCGACGGUAUUUUUCUAUCGAAGAUGGAUUUUACCUAGAAUUAGCUCAAUUUAAAGUUGAAUAGUAAUGAAGAUAAUCUAUGUAUAAAUGAACAUUAAAACGAGCUUUGAAAAUUCGAAAUAGAAUUCUUCUUCCAUCGAACCUUUUCAUUUAUCUUAAUCGAGGAAAUUAUGAACAAAGAUGUAUCGCCAGAUGUAUCGUUUCUCUGUUUUCACCGCUUUCAACGCUGUUUAAGCGAAUGAAUUUCAAUUAAAUUCCGCUAGGUGAUACGCCUGUCAUUUGCAAUAGACGUUUGGUAUUCGGUGAAUGCGUUUCCUGUUCAAUAUGCCGAUAAAUCUUGGCUAUGUCUCAAACAUCAACUGCCCGACUAUAUCAAUAUCUCCAUUAAACUAACUACUUGAUAACGUAAUUAGAAACGAUGGAAUGAAACCGCGUCGUCAUAUCGUUUCUUUUUUCUAAAUGAUUAUAGCUGUGAGAUGUUAAAUGCUAUUUGUCGUGGAAUAUUCUAGCAAGGAGGAGUUACCACUCUAAGGAUGACUCGGUGGAACGCCUAAAGCGACCACGUGUUACGCAACAAGGGAAUACUCGAAACGAUCAAGAAAUAUGGCGACGGAAUCAGGCAAUUAAAUCUCGGAUGAAGUUGUACUUUAUAGCAGGAAUCGGAUUUGGCAAUUGGUUACUGUGCAGUUGGCGCGAUGGAAACCGUGUUGCACGCGAACCGGGAAACUUUGCAGCCAACUCAAACGUCGAGAACCUGAAUAAUUGAUGCAUCGUUGCUUCCACUGGGAAAUAAUCGAUAAUACCACCGGGGAACGUAACAAAUAUUCCGCGGCAAAGAUCGAUAAGCGUGCGAGUCCAACUCGAGAACUCUUAGUUUCCAACCUUCGUAUCGUUUUACAUUUCUUCCUACUCGAAAGAUAUUUUUGCUUCUCUUUUCUUUUCUUUUUUCUUUUUUGUGACCGAUUACGAAAUAAAAAACUACAGCAGCUCUCUCGAGAACAGAUCUAUGACAACAGAACGGUGGAUCAGGCAAAGUGUCUUGGUCUUAGUUACAGUUUUUUCAUACGAUUUAAAACUACUGGGGGGAGGGGGGGCACAAGUUAUGGUAUUAUAUAUCGUCUUUUCAACAUGCGAGAAAUGUAUCAGAGAAUAAACAAUGGAAUAUUUUACGAAAGCCAAAAGUUCAAAUCAAAAAUAUAAUACGACUUUUCGUGAUAUCGGAAGAAAAUAGUUACCGUAACGUUAGACUUUAGUGGAUUAAAGUACUAUGUAUUUAUAGGUACACAAUAAAUAUAGAUUCCAUAAUGAUUUAA